CGGCCUCCGAGAAGAGCAGGGCUGCAGCUCCUCACUGCGUCAGGCGGAGAGCCCUGCCCGUGCAGGCGGCGCCGGGCAGCUCUGCCAGGCCCGGGGGUCUCCCAGCGGCUCGGCGCGGCUCGGUUCGGUUCGGCUCGGGACCCAGGCGAGGAGCGCGACGCGGAGCGGUUCGGUUCGGCCUAGCACGAUCCGGUCCGGUUUGGUUCGCACUGUGCUUCAUGACAUCCCAGAGUGUCCCCAAAACCCAGCAAGUCUUUUGUGCAGCCCUGCAGAGACGUGGCAGUGGAGAAGGAGAAGUGUACAACCAGGAAACUGAAUAGCAUCACUGGCAGAGACCGUCCUCUCCCCAGAUAGCUGAGAGUGUCGAAUAUCUGAGAAGCCCAAUGGCUUUGGCACGGUGGGAUGGAACCAACCUAAGCAUUCGGUCUCAGCCCAUGGAGCCCAUUGAGGCAGGGCUGAUGGAGACCCAGACCUCCUGCACCUCCAAGAGGUUUAUGUGGCAGUAAUCUAACGACUGGGUCACGUGGAGCCGGGUCGCAGAUUUAUCACCGCGUACUUGAAGAUCACAGGCUAUGGAAAUGAUUGCUGUGCUGGCUGGAAUACAUUAUGCAAAGCAAUGCGUUAUCUGGAAGCCUGCACUGCGCGCGCACACUUCGGUGAUCUAUCUAUCGCUUCCCAUGCAGAUGUUCUGCUGCAAAGAUGUUCUAAUUAAUAUAUUGAAAAUACAUUUCCUGCUUUGUCUGCUCCGGAGAUGAGCAGAGAAAACAGCAUCGAUGGGGGGAAAAGCCCCCGCCAUGAAAGGAGUGAUAAAGAGAAAGGAAGGGACUUCAAGGCAGUUGAAACAAGUGGAGUGUGAACUGUGGCCCAGCUCAUGCCCAGGGCAAGUGAUGGGGCUGAUGCUGGUCCAACUCUCCUGAUGGCAUCACAGAGCCUUAGCAGCAGCUGCAGCUCCUCAAUCCUCCUGCUGCCCUCCUGUCAGGAUAGCCCUUCUCUCCCUCCAUCUAUUUAGAAGUUGGACUUCAGAAUCCUUACAGGUCCUUUAUCCAUGACAAUCUCCCAUACAGAGCAGCCAUAGACCACAACAUCUGCUCCAUGAGGUGCAGCCCAUGAUCUAUUCCUCCCUGUGAGGCUGUAGGCAUUACAGCGGGCAUCAUCCAUCCCAUCGCAAGGAGACAGCUUACACCAUCUGCCCCGAGUAGCUGCAGAGACCCACAGAAGGAUGGGAGAUGAGGUGGGCAAGGCACAGACCCAACAGUGGGACACAGCCAGGCACCUCCAUCCUGCCUCAUAGGGGCAGUGAGAACCGGAACCCUGCAGUGAACACCAUCAGUCACAGAGGGCUCAGGCUUCACACUGGGAGAAACCCAGAUCAAUCCCCUGGAGAAGAAGAGAUGUGAAAUUAGCCUUGCCAGGCUGGGGAGUGCUUUUAAAUUGCAGCAGAAGUGGUUGAGAGAUAGCUCUGCUCUCCACAGGAACUUCUCCCCAUCCUUGGGAUUUAAGCCUGUUAAUAGUGGAGCAUGAUGAUAUUAUCUGUUUGUAUUGCACUUUUUAUCACAGACGGCUCCCAGGGUGAUUUGCUAUCAUGCCCUCUGAGAGCUGCUGAAACACAGGAGCUGCAGGAAGCAUCAGUGAUGCAGCCACCAUCUCGGUAAUAGCAGAGCAGGAGGAAUGGAGCAAAAGCCCUUUGCCAGGUGGGAAAUGCUGCACUCCUCAGCUUCCUGCUGCUUCCCAGAGGCUUCGGUGCUGGCAUCCAUUCUCCAGCUCCCAGCCUGGAAAGGGGCAGGUUAAUGGGGCACAGAGCUCUGGUGGGAAGAAGGGGCUCUGCUGUUUGAGCAGCAACUGAUGGAAGAGUCCAUGCUCUUGCAGGCUUGAAGCUCAACCCCCAUGUAAUCCCUCCAGAGACCCUGGGUCUGCAGAAUGAGUCCAGGCCACCCCAGGGAGCAUCCCAUGGGUUGCCAGGCAGCGUGGGGCCGGGAGGAGUGCAGCUGGUGUGUGUGUGGCUGUCCUUGCCAGGAGGACCAGCACCGACAGUGACAGCAUCUGCAAGCACCACCUGGGCACCGAGCUGGGGCUGCACUGAGCAUCACCUAGCGAUGCAUGCAGGCAGGACGAGCAUUUGUGAGCUCUCCUUCCAGCCAGGAUGGACGAUUGGCAGAACCAUCCCUUUCCCUAAGAGCCAAUGCCUCACCCGAUUUACUCACCUGGAGCACGUGCUCAGACCUCCAGGAGCUGUGUGGGAGGAGACAGCUGGGUGCUGUGCAACAAACAUUCAGCAGAGCUGCAGAGUGCUUCCACUCCCAGCUCCACCACCCCCUGAUUGACACCCUGUAAUAAAGAGAUUUACCACAUAAUUAUUGCGCAUUUGGGAUGCGGCGCCAUUCUUUUUCUUUUUUUCUUUUUCUUUUUUUUUUAACCUGGUGACAGCUUUAAACAGCAGUUAAAGUGUGUGUUUAUAUUAACGUCAUUAGGUAUUUUUGUGUAUUUAACCGAAAAGGCUUCUCCUCAGAACGAUGGCAUGGUAAACAACAGCUCAGUUGUCUUCUAUAGACAUUGCUACCUUUACUUUCAGAUCAACUAUUUAAGUGAAUGGGAGGGAAGGAUCUGAGCCUGGAUUGAUGUGUUUCUGUCCUGGUCCCACCAGCAAAAAUGUUAAACUGAGCUUAGAACAAAUGAGAGAGGGAGCCUGGCAUUUACUGGUGGGGAGAAGUGGUAAUAAAUGAUGGCUUUUAUCAAGAAAUAUUACCUAGAAAGUGUAUUCCU